rnacentral:misc_RNA from 1 species
AGAACUUUAAAAAGCAUAGAACUUUUCUUUCUUUUAAUAGCGGUUCACUGAAUGUGAUAGAUACAGAAUCCAUAAUCAAUAGAAGAAGGUCCCAACAGCAAAAAAUUGCACUUGUAGAAUGAUUGGCACAAGAUUACAACGCGAUAUCCUCUGUUCUCACUUAAUGCAGAUUAUGGAAAUAAUAUUCUGUACGCCACGUCCAU